rnacentral:lncRNA from 1 species
UACAAAACGAUUUUAAAAUGCAUCAUUCUCGUGCCACUCUAAUUAAUAUUGUUUCCAGCUGAUUAGUGGUUUUGACUCCACAAGGUCAGCUGUUAAAUUGCCACAGUCACACUCAGCUCUAAGCCUGUUAGUGUUUCAUGGGGCUGAAGUUUCUCCCUUGGACAUUCUGCUUUUACAGCGAGGUGAAAUGGUGAAGAAGUGUGCCUUUCCAUCUGACCUAAGGAACCGGUUCUCUUAUUUCCUCUCUUGA